GGGGAAAAAGGGGGGACUCGUGAAGCUGGCGGCCGGCCUACACAUGAGGGUCGAGCGGAUGAAGGGAGCUUGCUCCCGGAUUUAGCGGCGGACGGGUGAGUAAUGCCUAGGAAUCUGCCUGGUAGUGGGGGAUAACGUUCCGAAAGGAACGCUAAUACCGCGUACGUCCUACGGGAGAAAGCAGGGGACCUUCGGGCCUUGCGCUAUCAGAUGAGCCUAGGUCGGAUUAGCUAGUUGGUGAGGUAAUGGCUCACCAAGGCGACGAUCCGUAACUGGGCGGAGAGGAUGAUCAGUCACACUGGAACUGAGACACGGUCCAGACUCCUACGGGAGGCAGCAGUGGGGAAUAUUGGACAAUGGGCGAAAGCCUGAUCCAGCCAUGCCGCGUGUGUGGAGAGGGUCUCCGGAUUGUAAGGAGAGUAGAGUUGGGAGGAAGGGCAGUAAGUUAAUACCUUGCUGUUUUGACGUUACCGACAGAAUAAGCACCGGCUAACUUCGUGCCAGCAGCCGCGGUAA
rnacentral:rRNA from 1 species